rnacentral:rRNA from 1 species
AUUGAACGCUGGCGGCAUGCCUUACACAUGCAAGUCGAACGGUAACAGGGAGCUUGCUCCGCUGACGAGUGGCGAACGGGUGAGUAAUACAUCGGAACGUGCCCAAUCGUGGGGGAUAACGUAGCGAAAGUUACGCUAAUACCGCAUACGAUCUACGGAUGAAAGCGGGGGAUCGCAAGACCUCGCGCGAAUGGAGCGGCCGAUGUCAGAUUAGGUAGUUGGUGGGGUAAAGGCUCACCAAGCCAACGAUCUGUAGCUGGUCUGAGAGGACGACCAGCCACACUGGAACUGAGACACGGUCCAGACUCCUACGGGAGGCAGCAGUGGGGAAUUUUGGACAAUGGGCGCAAGCCUGAUCCAGCCAUUCCGCGUGCAGGAUGAAGGCCUUCGGGUUGUAAACUGCUUUUGUACGGAACGAAACGGUCUGCCCUAAUACGGCGGGCUAAUGACGGUACCGUAAGAAUAAGCACCGGCUAACUACGUG